rnacentral:rRNA from 1 species
AAGCGUGUGAGCCAUGUGCCGAGAAAAGCUGCUAUUGUGUAAUGCGUGCCCGUACCGUAAACCGACACAGGUGGAUGAGGAGAGAAUCCUAAGGCCGGCGGAAGAAGCAUUGUUAAGGAAUUCGGCAAAAUGACCCCGUAACUUCGGGAGAAGGGGUGCCUGCGAGAGCAGGCCGCAGAGAAUAGGCUCAAGCAACUGUUUAGCAAAAACACAGGUCUAUGCGAAACCGAAAGGUGAAGUAUAUGGGCUGACGCCUGCCCGGUGCUGGAAGGUUAAGAGGAGAGGUUAGCUUCGGCGAAGCUUUGAAUUUAAGCCCCAGUAAACGGCGGCCGUAACUAUAACGGUCCUAAGGUAGCGAAAUUCCUUGUCGGGUAAGUUCCGACCCGCACGAAAGGCGUAAUGAUUUGAGCACUGUCUCGACAAUGCAUCCGGUGAAAUUGAAGUACCAGUGAAGAUGCUGGUUACCCGCGCCAGGACGGAAAGACCCCAUGGAGCUUUACUCCAGUUUGAUACUGGGAUUCGGUACUGCAUGUACAGGAUAGGUGGGAGACGAAGAAGGAUGGACGCCAGUCUGUCCGGAGUCGCUGUUGGGAUACCACCCCUGUAGUACUGGGUUUCUAACCAGUUGCCAUGAACUGGCAAUGGGACAAUGUCAGGCGGGGAGUUUGACUGGGGCGGUCGCCUCCGAAAGGGUAUCGGAGGCGCUCAAAGGUUCCCUCAGAAUGGUUGGAAACCAUUUGAAGAGUGCAAAGGCAGAAGGGAGCUUGACUGCGACACCGACGGGUGGAGCAGGUACGAAAGUAGGACUUAGUGAUCCGGUGGUAUAAAGUGGGAUUGCCAUCGCUCAACGGAUAAAAGCUACCCUGGGGAUAACAGGCUUAUCACUCCCAAGAGUUCACAUCGACGGAGUGGUUUGGCACCUCGAUGUCGGCUCAUCGCAUCCUGGGGCUGUAGCAGGUCCCAAGGGUUGGGCUGUUCGCCCAUUAAAGCGGUACGCGAGCUGGGUUCAGAACGUCGUGAGACAGUUCGGUCCCUAUCCGGCGCGGGCGGAGGAUAUUUGAGAGGAGCUGUCCUUAGUACGAGAGGACCGGGAUGGACGGACCACUGGUGUAUCUGUUGUCGACCAACGGCAUGGCAGAGUAGCCAAGUCUGGAAGGGAUAAACGCUGAAGGCAUCUAAGCGUGAAGCCCCCCUCAAGAUGAGAUAUCCCUCCUUCGGGAGUAAGACCCCUUGAAGACUACAAGGUAGAUAGGGCAGAGGUGGAAGCAUGGCAACAUGUGGAGCUGACU